CCCAAUUAAUCGAAAAAACGAAUUUGGGGAGGGGCAAAAAAAAAAGCGAAACCCUAACCCGAAACCCCAAAUUCCCCUUCGAUCGAUCCCUCUCUCUCUCCCCCCCUUCCUUCAAUCCUUCUCCGUCCACCGCCGCCGCCUCCGCCGCCGCCGCCGCCGAUGUAUGGAUCUCUGGCGCCGCCGCCGCAUCGUCGACCCACAGUGUGAUGGCUAGACAGAACAAUGCUGUGAAGAUUUUCCAAAAACCUACUAUCGGACCUUUUCAGCUUUUUGUCUGCUGUUGGACCCACCACUAGUCUACCAAAUGAAUCUAGAGUUUUUAAAGGGCUUCACACUGGAGGAACUUAAGGCUAUCUAUCUUGUGAGCCAAAGAUAAUGUCUGAAGAAGCUAGAGCAAUGUUAGAAGUGUAUGACGACCCCUCAGAUCGUAGAUCCUUCUCCCAGGAGGAAACUAGCAGUGCAGAAGAGUCCCCAGAGGACACGCGGCUCUCGCUGGAAUCCUCAAGCGAUGCUGUUCCCUACAUUGGCCAAAUGUUUGAAACCCACGAUUUGGCGUACGAGUUCUACAGUGAAUUUGCCAAGCGGUGUGGCUUCUCGAUUCGCCGCCACCGCACAGAAGGCAAAGACGGUGUUGGUAAAGGACUCACUAGACGGUACUUCGUGUGCCAUCGUGCUGGCAAUACCCCUAUCAAAUCAUCAAACGAUACAAAACCACAAAGGAAUAGGAAGUCCUCUCGGUGUGGAUGUCAAGCAUACCUGCGUAUAAGCAAGAAUGUGGAUUCGGGUAUCACAGAAUGGCGGGUCACAGGAUUUUCUAAUCACCACAACCACGAGCUUUUAGAACCAAACCAAGUGCGUUUUCUUCCGGCUUAUCGGGUCAUCUCAGAGGCUGAUAAAAACCGAAUCUUGAUGUUCGCAAAAACUGGCAUUUCCGUGCAACAAAUGAUGAAACUAUUGGAGUUAGAGAAGUGUGUUGAGCCUGGACUUCUGCCCUUCACGGAGAAAGAUGUGAGGAAUUUAAUACAGUCAUUUAGGAAGGUUGAUCAAGAUGAGGACAGCAUCGACCUCCUUAGGAUGUGCAAGAACAUUAAGGAGAAAGACCCCAACUUUAAGUAUGAUUUCACCAUUGAUGGCAAUAAUAGGUUGGAAAAUAUUGCUUGGUCGUAUGCAUCGUCGGUCCAAUCAUAUGAGGUCUUCGGUGAUGCAAUUGUAUUCGACACGACUCACCGUUUAGCUGCUUUUGAUAUGCCGCUUGGAAUUUGGGUUGGCAUGAACAAUUAUGGGAUGCCUUGCUUCUUUGGUUGUGUGCUUCUAAGAGAAGAAAACUUGCGAUCCUAUACAUGGGCAUUACAGGUGUUUCUUAGCUUCAUGAAUGGAAAGGCUCCGCAAACAAUCCUAACUGAUCAAAAUAUGUGUCUUAAGGAAGUGAUAGCUAAAGAAAUGCCAACAACCAAACAUGCCUUCUGCAUAUGGCUUAUAGUAGCAAAGUUCCCAUCUUGGUUCAACGCAGCUCUUGGAGAGCGGUACAAUGAAUGGAAAGUUGAGUUCUGUAGGCUCUAUAAUUUGGAAAGUAUAGAUGAGUUUGAGCUCGGAUGGCAAGAGAUGGUGGAUUUAUACGGGCUUCAUGCAAAUAGACACAUUACCAAUUUGUUUACUUUUCGAACAUUCUGGGCUUUACCGUACUUGAGAAGCCAUUUCUUUGCAGGAAUGACUGCAACAGGUUUGUCAAAGUCAAUAAAUGCUUUCAUUCAGAGGUUCUUGAGUGCGCAGACUCGCCUUGCUCAUUUUAUCGAACAGGCUGCGGUAGCCAUUGAUUUUAGAGACCAAGCCGGGGAGCAGCAGGCGAUGCAACAGAACAUACAAAACAUCUGCCUCAAAACAGGUGCUCCAAUGGAAGCUCAUGCAGCCUCCGUCCUCACCCCCUACGCUUUCUCCAAAUUACAAGAGGAGCUUGUCAUGGCCACCCACUAUGCUUCCUUCCAGAUGGAAGAGAACUGCUUCCUUAUCAGGCACCACACAAAGAUCGAUGGUGGCCGAAAAGUGCUUUGGGCACCGCGGGAAGAAGUGCUUUCUUGUAGCUGCCACAUGUUUGAGUUCUCAGGGAUUCUUUGUAGACACACUCUAAGAGUGCUUUCGACCCUCAACUGCUUUCAGAUCCCAGACCGCCAUUUGCCCAUCAGAUGGCGGAGGGCCAACUUGUUGCCCUCGAAGAUGGUGCAGGGCGCUUCUUGGAAUGAGCAGUCGGAGAGCGUGCAGGCACUGCAGUCGAUGAUGUCAGCCCUAAUAGCCGAAGCAGCCAAGUCGAAAGAUCGUAUGGAUAUCGCAUCACGUGAGGUCUCGAGUCUCUUGUCUCGAAUAAGGCAGCAACCUGUUUCGGUCCAUGGCUCAAGAUAUGACUUUCACAAAGUUUAAGAAGUCACACUAUUUGUUAUUUAACAUCCAAGCGAUUGGUGGGGAAAGAGAGGGAACAUAAUAUACCAAUGUGAGACCAAAUUCAGGGACGCAGCAUGGGAGGUCAGUGCAUUGUAAUUGGAAUAGGCACCUUUUCAGUUGCAAAUCACGGUAGGAGCUAUGUGGCUUUUGUAGUUCUUUGAUUUGCAAUGGCAUAAUGUACCUUCAGAAGAACUCAUUUUGUCUUCAUGGUUGCCAAGGGAAUUUCAACUCACUUGAUGGCACCAGGAGCCACCAACCUUUUCAGAAAGUUUCAGUCAGGACCCCAACCAUUCUGUUGAUACAAUCUGGCCCCUCACGUUUUGCGUUAGUUUGCUAUUUACCUGUUUAUUAAGUCCCUCGAUAAAAUUGGACGAAAUGCGUGUGUGCUCAUAAAAUGAGAAGUCCAAAAGUCAUUUAAGUGGUCGUUAGAUGAUGGUUGCAUAACCAUUUCUUCUUAAUUUGAUGGGGAAGUUCAACUGAAAGGGUAACAUUGUGUUUGAAAUGUAAAUACUAGGGAUCUAAUUGUAGGUGCUGAAUGGUUGGGAUCGAACUGAAACUACAGUAAAAGGUUGGGAACGCUCGGUGUUAUUUAACUUUCAUGGCUCAGACGAAAACAGUCGGUGCUUUUGCAGUUUUGAGGAUACAGUAUCCAUGCAAAAUGGUUGGUGUGGAGGUUCUACCAUUUAUAUCAUUAUCCUUUGGUUUUUGGCUUAUGGUUUUGGGUUCGAUUUCAGCGGAUUGCGUCUGGCUCUACAGUUUGUAAGAUCACCUCCACAGAAGUUAUAUCAGGUAAUUUUCUAUCCAAGUUUAUAUUUGAUUGAUCAUUACUCAAAGUUUAUGCCCUUUGUCUUUUAAUAGAGUUUAUAUAAAUCAGUCAAGUAUAUAAUUGAUUGAUCAUUGCACAAAUCUUCUACUAGAACAACACUGCUGUUUAGACCUGAUUGCCAACUUUUAGAUCUUCUUUGUACUGUGAUAAGUAACCAAACUUCUAGAUGAGAUCCUGUUUUUUUUGGUUUUCCGGAAACACUACUAUAUAAUAGCUAGAACUAGAGCAUCUAUUGAGGGCCAUAAUCAUAUUAAAAGUAGCUUAGUAGAGAGAACUAUCACUAAGAUAUGUGUUCCAGUAUACGGUACUGAAUUCUAAAUAUUUACUACCGCGAUCGUUCUUCAUGUAAAUACACCUAUUUUUAGCACUGUGACAUAUGCUAUUAUUGUUGUUUUCAUAUGAACUACUUUGCAUUAUUGCAGUUUUUUUUUUUAUUAUUUUCUAUAACAGUAUGAUUAAAAUAAUUUUGUAUAACUUAAUGUGAAAGAUUAAUAAGUAUUCUUUCCAUUAACAUAACUUUGACUGAACCAUGUGGUUGUGGUCCAACUCCAAAGAGGGCUAUUGAGUGUUUGUUUGUAAAUUUGAUUUUUUUAUUUUCCUAUUUUAAAUUGUAUGAGAAAGGUGGAUAGAAUCUAACUCCAUGCGUAUUGCAACUUCAUAUUUUAAUAUUUAAAAUAGACAAUGUUGUCUUAGGGUUAGCUCAUCAAAUUGUGCUCAUAUGUUGCAAAAGUGGCAAAGCUCAAAAUCAUAUGCAAUGGGAAAUUUGGAUGCAUUUGCAGCUAUUUUGGGAAGUGUUGUGGGUGAAUUUAACUACUAUACGAAUUAUGGAGUUGUUUAAUAAAAAUUUGGUUCAAUUUGCUUAUUUAGAUUUUUUUUUUAAUUUAUUUGUUGAGAGAGAAAGGUAGCAAGCGAUCUGGUUCGUUCAUUUUUUUUAGAAAUGUAACUCAGCUAGAAAGGUGAAGCAAUUAUGCUUCCAACUUGGGGCCUUUUAAGUACAAACUUAAUUUAACUUUUUUAUGGAUCAAUGUGUUUAUCUUAGACC